rnacentral:rRNA from 1 species
UACGUAGGUGGCGAGCGUUGUCCGGAUUUACUGGGCGUAAUGGGAGCGUAGGCGGACUUUUAAGUGAGAUGUGAAAUACUCGGGCUCAACUUGAGUGCUGCAUUUCAAACUGGAAGUCUAGAGUGCAGGAGAGGAGAAUGGAACUCCUAGUGUAGCGGUGAAAUGCGUAGAGAUUAGGAAGAACACCAGUGGCGAGGGCGAUUCUCUGGACUGUAACUGACGCUGAGGCUCGAAAGCGUGGGGAGCAAACAGG